AGAACGAACGCUGGCGGCAUGCCUAACACAUGCAAGUCGAACGCUCAUCUUCGGAUGGGAGUGGCGCACGGGUGAGUAACGCGUGGGAACCUGCCCCGAGGUUCGGGAUAACCGAUGGAAACGUCGGCUAAUACCGGAUACGUCCUAAGGGAGAAAGAUUUAUCGCCUUGGGAGGGGCCCGCGUCGGAUUAGCUAGUUGGUGGGGUAACGGCCUACCAAGGCGAUGAUCCGUAGCUGGUCUGAGAGGAUGAUCAGCCACACUGGGACUGAGACACGGCCCAGACUCCUACGGGAGGCAGCAGUGGGGAAUUUUGCGCAAUGGGGGAAACCCUGACGCAGCAACGCCGCGUGGAGGAUGAAGCCCCUUGGGGCGUAAACUCCUUUCGAUCGGGACGAUUAUGACGGUACCGGAGAAGAGCCCGGCUACUUCGUGCCAGCAGCCGC
rnacentral:rRNA from 1 species